GCCUUCGUGGUGUAGUGGUUCUGCACGCUGGGCCGAAAUUCCAGAGGUCCGCGGUUCGAUUCCCGGCGAAGGUG
rnacentral:tRNA from 1 species